AGAUAUGUUUGAUAUUCUUGGUUGUUCUAUGGUCAGACCACAACCAGAUAUCAGACAUAUUAUUA
rnacentral:pre_miRNA from 1 species